UGUGUGUGCGGUUCUUGGGGGCUUUUCCCCGAGGAGGGCAGCCCUUCUCCCUCCUCGGGGAAAAGCCCCAAAGAGCCGCACAUACG